rnacentral:rRNA from 1 species
CCGUCGCCCAAGAGAUCGGGAUAACACCUGGAAACAGAUGCUAAUACCGGAUAACAACAGAUGAUGCCUAUCAACUGUUUAAAAGAUGGUUCUGCUAUCACUCUUGGAUGGACCUGCGGUGCAUUAGCUAGUUGGUAGGGUAACGGCCUACCAAGGCGAUGAUGCAUAGCCGAGUUGAGAGACUGAUCGGCCACAUUGGGACUGAGACACGGCCCAAACUCCUACGGGAGGCAGCAGCU